CAUUUUUAUUGGCCAGAGCCCAGUCACAUGACCCCAACUUAACUGCAAGGGAUGCUGGGCAAUAUAGUCCAGUAGUGUGGCUAGCAGGAAAAUUAAAGGGGUUUGGUGAAUCCAUUGCUCCUGCCAUCACCCAGAUUAAAGACCUGCCCUCUCAUCCAGUAAUUAUUAUACUCCCUUUUCUCAAUUAAGUGUCUUCAUCCAUGGAUUGUUCAUUUUAUGGGUAGAUAUGACUCCUUAGAGUAAGGGUCAGUGGCCCAUGGCCUGUGAGCCAACUCCAAGCAGCUGCCUGUUUUACUUAUGUCCAGCAGUCAGGGAUUGAGUGGGCAAGCACUGUGGGCUGCAGAUACCAAGCUCCACCCUGAUUCCCCCUCCACUCUCAGAGGCUCCAUCCAGCUGGCAGGCUCACAGCACUGCAGCCCAGCAUCUGAAGUGGUACUGUCCCUAGGCUGAUGAGUGCCACAUCUUUACCAGGGCCAAAAUUUUCCUCUGAGAUUCAGACGUGUGUCACCAACUAGAAAGCAGGCUUGGAGUUUAAAAAUAAAUUUUCCAAUUCUUAAUACUUGAAUUAAAAGCAGAGUGGUCAUUAAACAGAAACUGCUGCUAAAAGUGACAAGCAACUUAGCCAUACACAUUAGGAGCAAAGAUUAUAAUUUUGCAGCAUAUUUUCAUAUCCAGGCAAAUCUGAGAUAGAAGGAAAAACAAAUGGCUUGGAGUAAAACAAAAUCCUUACAACAUGUAAGCCUCUGACCUCAGAUAGAACUUCAGUAUGAACCAGCUGCAGAACAGCAUCUUGGGGCCAGUGGGUUGGGGAGGUUCACUGUUGAUUUGCUAUUAUUCUGUGA